rnacentral:lncRNA from 1 species
CAAUAUCCCCAAUUCAAGAACUCCAAUACUGGACUUCCAAAGCUGUUUAGCAGUUGGGCGAAGAUCACUGCUGUAGUGAGUUGAUUCAUCCAAAACAUGAUAACCACCUUCCAGACAGAUCCUCGUAUGAAUCUUGCUUGAAAACUUGAUUUCCUUCUUCUUUUCUCCUUCCAUUAUAACAACGUGUUUUUCGAUGUUAUACCACUUGGUAUUCACAGGUUUGUAAUCCAGUCUCCGCUCCACCAUUUGUAAAGAAAUAGCACACCUCCCAAGUGAUUCCUCCUUGUUAGGGGCAACUCUGUCUUCCACACUCAAAAUCAG